rfam:TPA: Bos taurus chromosome 8, whole genome shotgun sequence.
UCCUUGGUGGCUCAGAUGGUAAAGAAUCUGCCUGUAGUGCAGGAGACCCAGGUUUGAUCCCUGGGUCAGAGAG